GACGAACGCUGGCGGCGUGCUUAACACAUGCAAGUCGAGCGAUGAAGCACCUUCGGGUGUGAAUUAGCGGCGAACGGGUGAGGAACACGUGAGAAAUCUGCCUUCAACACUGGGAUAACUCCGGGAAACCGGGGCUAAUACCGGAUAUGAAACCUGCGGGCAUCCGCGGGUUUGGAAAGUUUUUCGGUUGAAGAUGAUCUCGCGGCCUAUCAGCUUGUUGGUGAGGUAAUGGCUCACCAAGGCGACGACGGGUAGCCGGCCUGAGAGGGCGACCGGCCACACUGGGACUGAGACACGGCCCAGACUCCUACGGGAGGCAGCAGUGGGGAAUAUUGGGCAAUGGAGGCAACCCUGAUCCAGCAAUGCCGCGUGAGUGAAGAAGGCCUCGGGUUGUAAGCUCUUUGUCUAGGAGAAACAGCAGCUCUAACACAGUCUGCGAA
rnacentral:rRNA from 1 species